GACCGGAGUGGACGAACCUCUGGUGUUCGGGUUGUGUCGCCAGACGCAUUGCCCGGUAGCUAAGUUCGGAAUCGAUAACCGCUGAAAGCAUCUAAGCGGGAAGCGAGCCCUGAGAUGAGUCUUCCCUGAUACUUUAAGUAUCCUAAAGGGUUGUCGGAGACUACGACGUUGAUAGGUCAGGUGUGUAAGUGCUGUGAGGCAUUGAGCUAACUGAUACUAAUUGCCCGUGAGGCUUAACCAUACAACACCCAAGGGGUUU
rnacentral:rRNA from 1 species